rnacentral:rRNA from 1 species
UACGUAGGGUGCAAGCGUUGUCCGGAAUUAUUGGGCGUAAAGAGCUCGUAGGCGGUUUGUCGCGUCUGCCGUGAAAGCCCGUGGCUUAACUACGGGUCUGCGGUGGAUACGGGCAGGCUAGAGGCUGGUAGGGGCAAGCGGAAUUCCUGGUGUAGCGGUGAAAUGCGCAGAUAUCAGGAGGAACACCGAUGGCGAAGGCAGUUCUCUGGGCCGUAACUGACGCUGAGGAGCGAAAGCGUGGGGGAGCGAACAGG